rnacentral:rRNA from 1 species
AACGUAGGACGCGAGCGUUAUCCGGAGUUACUGGGCGUAAAGGGUGGGCAGGCGGCCGUGUCAGAUGGGUGUGAAAUCUCCCGGCUCAACCGGGAGGGGCAACUCGUGACUGCACGGCUGGAGGGCAGCAGAGGCGCGUGGAAUUCCGGGUGGAGUGGUGAAAUGCGUAGAGAUCCGGAGGAACACCAGAGGCGAAGGCGGCGCGCUGGGCUGCAACUGACGCUGAACCACGAAAGCCAGGGUAGCGAACGGG